GGAUGAGAGGGUGAUCUGGCUAUGACAUUUGUCACCCAUUGAUCACCAAGGUUGAUUUGGCUGGCUGGGCAGGUGUCCCCUUCCUCCCUCAGCUCUCCACACACGUCCCUCCCGAAGCUGCACACUUAGUAGAAGCGGACGACCUUCCCUAAUAGAGGAGGAUGGUCAAAGGCAUACAAGUGGCUGUGUUCACCUCCUAGGACCUCCAAACAAGCUCUCAAAGUCCAUUUGUGGGAGAGUGUAGGGCAGUCAAGCUUCCAAGACUCAACACAUUCAAGUGAGGCGCUGCAUGCGGCGGUCUGCCUUUCUGU
ensembl:misc_RNA 7SK 7SK RNA